UGGGGAAUAUUGCGCAAUGGGCGAAAGCCUGACGCAGCGACGCAGCGUGAGGGACGAAGGUCUUCGGAUUGUAAACCUCUUUCAGCAGGGACGAAGCGAAAGUGACUGUACCUGCAGAAGAAGCACCGGCUAACUACGUGCCAGCAGCCGCGGUAAUACGUAGGGUGCAAGCGUUGUCCGGAUUUAUUGGGCGUAAAGAGCUCGUAGGCGGUUUUUCGCGUCGGAUGUGAAAACCCAAUGGCUUAACCUUGGGCCUGCAUUCGAUACGGGCAAACUAGAGUGUGGUAGGGGAGACUGGAACUCCUGGUGUAGCGGUGGAAUGCGCAGAUAUCAGGAAGAACACCGAUGGCGAAGGCAGGUCUCUGGGCCAUAACUGACGCUGAGGGGCGAAAGCGUGGGGAGCGAACA
rnacentral:rRNA from 1 species